rnacentral:misc_RNA from 1 species
GAUUGCGCGAUUUUGGGGUAAGUGAAGAUAGUUAAUUAGUCAAGCUUGGAGGUAUGGUAGGAGUGGCUUGUAUGGGUAAAAAAUGGCAUUGCCUUUGCUGUCGCAUGGUCCCAAUCUGAUGUUAUUUGGAACACCAUUUGGGUUAGUAAUAUAAGGAGUUGCAAAAUAUCCAGCCAAGCAUUUGAAUAUUUUGGUAAAGGUAAUUUUGGAAAGUUUUGUUUGUGGUUAUAAGUAAUACACUUUUCCCUUCAGGUUGGUGCCGUGAGAUGAAUUUCAUUGUGUUGGGAUUGUGGUUCUUAUUCAAAUAAAGAUAGUAAAAGCUCUCACAAAAAGGGGAUUUUACAUGGAGGUGGUCCACUCCUCUGGAUGUGAAAUCCCCCAAGCACGGAACAUCCAACGUUUUUUAGGCCCAAUGAGAUAGGUUUGCGG